GGCUUUGCGCGGUGGCGAUAUCGUAACCAAUGGGGUUCUAUCGAGGUGCGAUUAUUGCUAGUUUAAAACAAUAUGGGGAAGAGUUGAGCGAGAGAAUGGUAGUUUCGAAAUCUUUUUUCCAGGACCUUUUUCGUAAUUGAAAGCAAU